rnacentral:misc_RNA from 1 species
UCAUUGUUUGCUUUAUGCCUGCAGAUGAUGAGGACACAAGUCCAAUUAGGACCUCAAAGAGAGUAUUCAAUUAUGAAAACUCGAAUUUACUAUAGUGAAACUCAGUAUCUUUAACUUUUUCUUAACAGCCAAAGAAUUUUAUACAGAAAAUAAAAAAUUGACAAUUGCAUGGAAAAUAGGAAAUGCAUAUAUUCUGGAACCGGAAAUUCAUCAAAGAUAACUAACCGUCAAACAUUGUACAGCAUGAUCAUUAUAAAAGAGUCUUGGCGCACGGACGAGAAAAAUAGGGAGUUUGGAUAGAUUGCACUCAUCUCAAACACAAAAUGCAUAACAUUUAUUCAAUAGACAGAAAGGCAUCCACAUGCUUACCUUGUUAGCAAUAUUAUUGGAGA